rnacentral:rRNA from 1 species
CAAUAGCGUAUAUUAAAGUUGUUGCGGUUAAAAAGCUCGUAGUUGGAUCUCGGCGAGCAGAGGGCGGUUCGUUAUUUGACGCUACUACCCUAUUUGCUCGUGUUUUUGUCGGAGGUCUCUUGGUGCUCUUAACCGAGUGUCAAGUGAUGCCGGCAGGUUUACUUUGAAAAAAUUAGAGUGCUCAAAGCAGGCUUUACACGCUUGAAUAUUCGUGCAUGGAAUAAUAGAAUAGGACGUCGUUUCUAUUUUGUUGGUUUUCGGAAAUCGACGUAAUGAUUAAUAGGGACAGUCGGUGGCAUUAGUAUUCCAACGACAGAGGUGAAAUUCUUGGACCGUUGGAAGACUAACUACUGCGAAAGCAUUUGCCAAGAAUGUUUUCAUUAA